rnacentral:lncRNA from 1 species
ACUCAUCAAACAUUUCCUCUUUCAAACCCUUCCAAUCGCGUGUUUUCUCUCAAAAUCGAGCGAGUGGGAGGAGGAGGAAUCUUGGCAUCAGAAAUCGUUAGGAUUAGCCAGAGGAGAUAGAAGGACGCGUAGGUUAGAGAUUAAUGCCACUCGCCAUAGAUUUUUGGCUGAAAUGGGACUUGAGUGCGUGGGUUCUUCGAAGAAGAAGAAGAACAGUGACACGUUUGGGGCGUAGGGAUUUAGGACUCGUUCGCUUUCUGUGUG